UACGGAGGGGGCUAGCGUUGUUCGGAAUUACUGGGCGUAAAGCGCACGUAGGCGGCUUUGUAAGCCAGAUGUGAAAUCCCCGGGCUUAACCUGGGAAUGGCAUUUGGGACUGCAAGGCUGGAGUGUGGCAGAGGAGACUGGAAUUCCUGGUGUAGCAGUGAAAUGCGUAGAUAUCAGGAGGAAUACCGAUGGCGAAGGCAGGUCUCUGGGCUGACACUGACGCUCAUGCACGAAAGCGUGGGGAGCAAACAGG
rnacentral:rRNA from 1 species